rnacentral:rRNA from 1 species
UGAGGAAUUUUCCGCAAUGGGCGAAAGCCUGACGGAGCAAUGCCGCGUGAAGGAUGAAGGCCUGUGGGUUGUAAACUUCUUUUCUCAGAGAAGAAUUUUGACGGUAUCUGAGGAAUAAGCAUCGGCUAACUCUGUGCCAGCAGCCGCGGUAAGACAGAGGAUGCAAGCGUUAUCCGGAAUGAUUGGGCGUAAAGCGUCUGUAGGUGGUUUGACAAGUCUUCUGUCAAAGAUCAGGGCUUAACCCUGGGCAGGCAGGAGAAACUAUCAGGCUAGAGUUCGGUAGGGGCAGAGGGAAUUCCCGGUGGAGCGGUGAAAUGCGUAGAUAUCGGGAGGAACACCAAAGGCGAAAGCACUCUGCUGGGCCGCGACUGACACUGAGAGACGAAAGCGAGGGGAGCAAAUGGGAUUAGAUACCCCAGUAGUCCUCGCCGUAAACGAUGGAUACUAGGUGUUGGGUGGGUUCAAAUCAUUCAGUACCGUAGCUAACGC